rnacentral:rRNA from 1 species
UGCAAGUCGGACGGGAUUGAAGAGCUUGCUUUUCAUGAGAGUGGCGCACGGGUGCGUAACACGUAUGUAACCUACCUUUGUCAGGGGGAUAGCCUCUCGAAAGAGAGAUUAAGACCGCAUAACAUGGAGACACAGCAUUGUGACUCCAUCAAAUAUUUAUAGGACAAAGAUGGGCAUGCGGAACAUUAGCUAGUUGGUAAGGUAAUGGCUUACCAAGGCUACGAUGUUUAGGGGAUCUGAGAGGAUGACCCCCCACACUGGUACUGAGACACGGACCAGACUCCUACGGGAGGCAGCAGUAAGGAAUAUUGGUCAAUGGGCGCAAGCCUGAACCAGCCAUGCCGCGUGCAGGAAGACGGCCCUACGGGUUGUAAACUGCUUUUAUACGGGAAUAAACCUCGAUACGUGUAUCGAGCUGAAUGUACUGUAAGAAUAAGGAUCGGCUAACUCCGUGCCAGCAGCCGCGGUAAUACGGAGGAUCCAAGCGUUAUCCGGAUUUAUUGGGUUUAAAGGGUGCGUAGGUGGCCUGUUAAGUCAGGGGUGAAAGACGGUAGCUCAACUAUCGCAGUGCCCUUGAUACUGAUGGGCUUGAAUACACUAGAGGUAGGCGGAAUGUGACAAGUAGCGGUGAAAUGCAUAGAUAUGUCACAGAACACCAAUUGCGANGGCAGCUUACUAUGGUGUCAUUGACACUGANGCACGAAAG